rnacentral:rRNA from 1 species
UACGAAGGGGGCUAGCGUUGUUCGGAAUUACUGGGCGUAAAGCGCGCGCAGGCGGUUUUCCAAGUCAGUGGUGAAAGCCCGGAGCUCAACUCCGGAACUGCCAUUGAAACUGUUAAACUUGAGGACGAGAGAGGUGAGUGGAAUUCCCAGUGUAGAGGUGAAAUUCGUAGAUAUUCGCAAGAACACCAGUGGCGAAGGCGGCUCACUGGCCCGAUACUGACGCUGAGGCACGAAAGCGUGGGGAGCAAACAGGG